rnacentral:lncRNA from 1 species
UGGAACUCAAAUAAACCAACUCACAAUGUUCUUGCAGCUGGUUGAUCGGAGAGAGCCUAGCCAAAACCCAAUGCCUCUGUCUUCAAUGGACUGGUAUGGACGAAUCAGGACUUGGACAGAACCUCCUCGGACUUCUGGAUCUUCUUCUUGGACUUUCGGUAGAACAAUGGCUCUUAAAAAUGCUCUAACUUCUUCAAAACAGCUCCAAAUCCUUCACUUCCUUUUUCUACUUCACUUUCUCUCUCUAGCCCAAGUUUUAGAGUGAUGUUUGAGUGUGUGGAAUGAAUGAAACGAGCUGGGGGAGCUGGGUUUAUAUAGAUAUGGCCAACCAUUGAAAUGGUGCCACUCCAUCGCCUGUGUGUCGUCCCGC